GGGGUGGCAGCACCACGGGAUACAGACAAACUCCAGCCCUGACUGAACACAUCGCAGGACUUGUUAACAAUCGGUCUCCCUCGACAAAAUUUUUCGCAACAAAAGCAGGCGCACACUCUCAGAAUACAUCCGUGUUCCUAAGCGUUUCGCCCCCUUGCUUCCCGCACCGGAAUCAGAGCCGCUCGCAAGUUGAGUGACGUCGCUGGCAAGGGGAGGGAGACAGGCACUGGGCUCCGAUCCUGUGCGCCGGCUUUAAAAACUCGGCUGGAAUUCGUUUAAAGGGAAACCGCCGGUGAAACUGCAAUAUCAGCCAGCACCACGCGUUUAAUAGUCCUCCCUGCCGUAGAUGAGGUUGGCAACAGCUUUAAUUAUCCUGGAUGGACACACGUUUGUCCACUUCGCCAUUGGUCCCUAACCACCGGGCCGCAAAGCAUGUGCUACUGGGCCGCGAGGAAACAAUAUGAUUUGGCGAUAUGAAACGAUAUGAGUCAGCUGCACCUUUCCUCAUUCCCUGUCACGCACUGUUGAACUUGAACACUGCCCCCGCCCCCUACUGUCGGCCGGUCUGCAAGAAUAUUGUCAAUAUUAAACGCGGUGCAAAAAAGGUUGGGGACCCCCGCACUUUGCCAUUUUAGUUCCUUCUUAUCUCAUCAGUCAGAAUUCAAUAACCUUAACAGCCUGCUUUUCCUGCAUUGCGUACCCAGCUUUAAUCACAUAAUAUCCCAGCAAAACUGCUUAGCAUUUGUCCACAUCAAUCACCACUUGAGGGCAAAUCUGUCACAUUGUCAUGGCUGCAGCUUUCGGGCUAAUACAAUUGCUUGUACACAGUUUUGUGCAGCGGGUUUACCAAUCUACUAACGCAUUGCACAACAUCCACUUUGGAGCAUUACUUAACUCUGUCCUCAAAGGAAUCUGCCACUGACUGCUGGUAGGGUGCAUUAACAUGCAAUUUCGAAUGGAGAAUAAUUUUUAGCUUUACCCUGC